AUUGAACGCUGGCGGCAGGCCUAACACAUGCAAGUCGAACGAGUGGCGGACGGGUGAGUAAUGUCUGGAAACUGCCUGAUGGAGGGGGAUAACUACUGGAAACGGUAGCUAAUACCCCAUACCAUCAGAUGUGCCCAGAUGGAAUUACCUUGUGGGUGGGGUAACGGCUCACCAAGGCGACGAGCCCUAGCUGGUCUGAGAGGAUGACCAGCAACACUGGAACUGAGACAAGGUCCAGACUCCUACCGGAGGCAGCAGUGGGGAAUAUUGCACAAUGGGCGGAAGCCUGAUGCAGCCAUGCCGCGUGUCUGAAGAAGGCCUUCGGGUUGUAAAGUACUUUCAGCGGGGAGGCGUUACCCGCAGAAGAAGCACCGGCUAACUCCGUGCCAGCAGCCGCGGUAAUAC
rnacentral:rRNA from 1 species